GUUCGUUAAACCCUCCCACCUAGAGGAAGGAGAAGUCGUAACAAGGUUUCCGUAGGUGAACCUGCGGAAGGAUCAUUGAAUCUAUCGUGCCCACACCGCGAAAAUGCUUAUGCCCUUCUGGAGUAGGCAAGCUUAAUUGCUUGCCCUUCAGUUGCGCAGAUCAGGGGCUGGCUCCUUUUGGUGUCAGUUGACUUGAUUGGGCGGGUCCAAUAUCAGCCGGAUUCCCCUUGAGAGACUUUGGGGAGGCCUAACGGUCUCACCCAAUGGCUUGGGGUUCUGCCGGCUGUGAGGGGUGGCGGUUAACUCACUUUAAGCAAUCAAAUCUGAAGACAGAUCUGUUGGCUAGCAUUGCUGGCUAUAGACUGAACAAAUACAGACAACUCUCAACAACGGAUAUCUUGGCUUCCGUAACGAUGAAUAACGCANCGAAAUGCCGAUNCCGUAUUGUGAAUUGCAGNANUCCGUGAACCAUCGAAUCUUUGAACGCAAAUUGCGCUCGAGGCUUCNGCCAAGAGCAUGUCUGCCUCAGCGUCGGCUACUACCCUCAACUAAGUUUCCUAUGAAAGACUAGGGGAUGCCAGCUGGAUUUGGCCGUCCGGUUUGCCUUUCAGGCUGCCGGUCAGCUGAAAUACAUUCACGCUCUGGGGGCUGCUUUCCUUGAAAGGCUACUUUCAAGGGGAGGCGAGUUCCGAUUUGGUAGGUGACCUUUGCCGGUUACAUGCCUUCGUUGCUCGCUAAGCUUCCCAGUGGUCGAUGUGCAGGACGCCUNUUGGCUUUCGACCUGAGGUCAGGCAAGAACACCCG
rnacentral:rRNA from 1 species